CGCUAGCGAGCAGCGGCAAUGCGGUACGUUCCGUGUCACCAGAGAUGUAGGAAUAUCUGGUUUUUCUACUUGUAGUUAAAAUGUAAUGUGAACUUAACUCUAUGUAUGAUUUACGAUUAAACAGAUAUCGGAGUUUUUACAAAUAAAUUAGUGUGUGUGUUUUUCAUGACAAAAGUUUAGUUGUAAGGAGUUCAAGUCAGUGAAAAAAGAGGGUCGGCAGAAACGUAUCGGGUAAGCACCGUCUCGACGUAUUCGGUUUUUCGAUCGCUUUAUAAGUAAAUUCUACAUAUUAUGUUGGUCUUCAGUGGUGCCGUACACAACUGAAGAGAAGAAAUUGGUAA